rnacentral:sRNA from 1 species
CAGAGGGGAAGAUACGAUGCAAAACCAAGGAAAUCAAUACUUUUGUUUUAGUAUUGAGUGGAAAAGAAUGUUUUUACGGCAGCAGCGGCUCCCCUGUUGUAUGGACAUUCUGCACCCGAAACUGAUAGCUGAGUCCUGAAGUUUUAUGUUAUGAAACAGAAGAACUUUCAUCCCAGCACAUGAUUUGGGAAUUACACUUUGUGACAUGGAUGAAUCUGCACUGACCCUUGGUACAAUAGAUGUUUCUUAUCUGCCAAAUUCAUCAGAAUACAGUGUUGGUCGAUGUAAGCACACAAGUGAGGAAUGGGGUGAGUGUGGCUUUAGACCCACCGUCUUCAGAUCUGCAACUUU